ensembl:snoRNA
AAGCAACACUCUGUGGCAAAUUGUCUAACACAAUUUCCCCUUGCUAUAGCAAGAAAGUCUAACCUAUUCCGGUGUUCUGUCUUCCGUGAGACACGCCAUUAUAUAGACUUAAACAGU